rnacentral:rRNA from 1 species
AGUGGAUGGGGAGCAACCUAGUUGUGCGUGUGUAAAGGUAGUGCCAAGAAAAGCGAUGAUCAUGUUGAAAAUCAAUUCCCGGUACCCGAAACCGACACAGGUGGGCAAGUAGAGAAUACUAAGGGGCGCGAGGUAACUCUCUCCAAGGAACUCGGCAAAAUGACCCCGUAACUUAGGGAGAAGGGGUGCCACCGAGAGGUGGUCGCAGUGAAGAGGCCCAGGCGACUGUUUAGCAAAAACAUAGGUCUCUGCAAACUCGAAAGAGGAGGUAUAGGGGCUGACGCCUGCCCAGUGCCGGAAGGUUAAAGAAGUUGGUCAGUUUUAGGAUGAAGCUAGCGACUGAAGCCCCGGUGAACGGCGGCCGUAACUAUAACGGUCCUAAGGUAGCGAAAUUCCUUGUCGGGUAAGUUCCGACCCGCACGAAAGGCGUAACGAUCUGGGCGCUGUCUCGGAGAGAGGCUCGACGAAAUAGGAUUGUCUGUGAAGAUACGGACUACCUGCAUUUGGACAGAAAGACCCUAUGAAGCUUUACUAUAGCUUGGAAUUGUGUUCGGGCUUCCUGUGCGCAGGAUAGGUGGGAGGCGUAGAAGGUAUUCUUGUGGGGAUACUGGAGCCAACGGUGAGAUACCACUCUCAGGAGGCUAGAAUUCUAACUUAAUUAAGGACAGUUUCAGGUGGGUAGUUUGACUGGGGCGGUCGCCUCCAAAAGGUAACGGAGGCGUACAAAGGUUCCCUCAGACUGGUUGGAAAUCAGUCGGAGAGUGCAAAGGCAGAAGGGAGCUUGACUGCGAGAAGUACAGUUCGAGCAGGGUGGAAACACGGUCUUAGUGAUCCGACGGUGCUGUGUGGAAGGGCCGUCGCUCAACGGAUAAAAGUUACUCUAAGGAUAACAGGCUGAUCUCCCCCAAGAGUUCACAUCGACGGGGAGGUUUGGCACCUCGAUGUCGGCUCAUCGCAACCUGGGGCGGAAGUACGUCCCAAGGGUUGGGCUGUUCGCCCAUUAAAGCGGUACGUGAGCUGGGUUCAGAACGUCGUGAGACAGUUCGGUCCAUAUCCGAUGUAGGCGUGAGAAUAUUGAGAGGAGCCUUCCUUAGUACGAGAGGACCGGGAAGGACGCACCGCUGGUGUACCUGUUAUGAUGCCAAUUGUAAACGCAGGGUAGCCAAGUGCGGAGAGGAUAACCGCUGAAAGCAUCUAAGUGGGAAGCCCACCUCAAGAUGAGUAUUCUGGUGUAAGGUCACGGGAAGACGACCCGUAAAUAGGCACGAGGUGGAAGUGCAGAGAUGUAUGAAGCCGAAGUGUACUAAUAGACCGUCGGCUUGACC